rnacentral:rRNA from 1 species
UACAGAGGUGGCAAGCGUUGUUCGGAAUUACUGGGCGUAAAGCGCGCGUAGGCGGUUUUGCAAGCCAGAGGUGAAAUGCCUGAGCUCAACUUAGGAAUUGCCUUUGGGACUGCGAGGCUUUGAGGACUGGAGAGGUGAGUGGAAUUCCCAGUGUAGAGGUGAAAUUCGUAGAUAUUGGGAAGAACACCGGUGGCGAAGGCGGCUCACUGGCCAGUUUCUGACGCUGCAGCGCGAAAGCGUGGGGAUCAAACAGG